GACGAACGCUGGCGGCGUGCUUAACACAUGCAAGUCGAACGGAAAGGCCCUGCUUUUGUGGGGUGCUCGAGUGGCGAACGGGUGAGUAACACGUGAGUAACCUGCCCCUGACUUUGGGAUAACUUCAGGAAACUGGGGCUAAUACCGGAUAGGAGCUCCUGCUGCAUGGUGGGGGUUGGAAAGUUUCGGCGGUUGGGGAUGGACUCGCGGCUUAUCAGCUUGUUGGUGGGGUAGUGGCUUACCAAGGCUUUGACGGGUAGCCGGCCUGAGAGGGUGACCGGCCACAUUGGGACUGAGAUACGGCCCAGACUCCUACGGGAGGCAGCAGUGGGGAAUAUUGCACAAUGGGCGGAAGCCUGAUGCAGCAACGCCGCGUGCGGGAUGACGGCCUUCGGGUUGUAAACCGCUUUCGCCUGCGACGAAGCGUGAGUGACGGUAAUGGGUAAAGAAGCACCGGCUAACUACGUG
rnacentral:rRNA from 1 species